rnacentral:rRNA from 1 species
GACGAACGCUGGCGGCGCGCUUAACACAUGCAAGUCGAACGGAAAGGCCUGCUUUCCCUUGUGGAUUGCGGGUACUCGAGUGGCGAACGGGUGAGUAACACGUGAGUGAUCUGCCCCCAACUUGGGUAUAAGCCUGGGAAACUGGGUCUAAUUCCCGAUAGGACUGCAGGGUGGUGCCUGUGGUGGAACACGAUUUUCUAGUGGUUGGGGAUGAGCUCGCGGCCUAUCAGCUUGUUGGUGGGGUAAUGGCCUACCAAGGCGGCGACGGGUAGCCGGCCUGAGAGGGUGGACGGCCACAUUGGGACUGAGAUACGGCCCAGACUCCUACGGGAGGCAGCAGUGGGGAAUAUUGCACAAUGGGCGGAAGCCUGAUGCAGCGACGCCGCGUGGGGGAUGACGGCCUUCGGGUUGUAAACUCCUUUCGACCGCGAGGAAGCCACCUGGUUGGAAGGGUGGUGACGGUAGUGGUAGAAGAAGCACCGGCUAACUACGUG